rnacentral:rRNA from 1 species
GCAUAUCAAUAAGCGGAGGAAAAGAAACCAACAGGGAUUGCCCUAGUAACGGCGAGUGAAGCGGCAACAGCUCAAAUUUGAAAUCUGGCGUCUUUGGCGUCCGAGUUGUAAUUUGCAGAGGGCGCUUUGGCAUUGGCAGCGGUCCAAGUUCCUUGGAACAGGACGUCACAGAGGGUGAGAAUCCCGUACGUGGUCGCUAGCCUUUACCGUGUAAAGCCCCUUCGACGAGUCGAGUUGUUUGGGAAUGCAGCUCUAAAUGGGAGGUAAAUUUCUUCUAAAGCUAAAUACUGGCCAGAGACCGAUAGCGCACAAGUAGAGUGAUCGAAAGAUGAAAAGCACUUUGGAAAGAGAGUUAAAAAGCACGUGAAAUUGUUGAAAGGGAAGCGCUUGCAGCCAGACUUGCCUGUAGUUGCUCAUCUGGGUUUUUACCCAGUGCACUCUUCUAUAGGCAGGCCAGCAUCAGUUUGGGCGGUUGGAUAAAGGUCUCUGUCAUGUACCUCUCUUCGGGGAGAACUUAUAGGGGAGACGACAUGCAACCAGCCUGGACUGAGGUCCGCGCAUCUGCUAGGAUGCUGGCGUAAUGGCUGUAAGCGGCCCGUCUUGAAACACGGACCAAGGAGUCUAACAUCUAUGCGAGUGUUUGGGUGUCAAGCCCGAGCGCGUAAUGAAAGUGAACGGAGGUGGGAACCUUUCGGGGUGCACCAUCGACCGAUCCUGAUGUCUUCGGAUGGAUUUGAGUAAGAGCAUAGCUGUUGGGACCCGAAAGAUGGUGAACUAUGCUUGAAUAGGGUGAAGCCAGAGGAAACUCUGGUGGAGGCUCGCAGCGGUUCUGACGUGCAAAUCGAUCGUCAAAUUUGGGCAUAGGGGCGAAAGACUAAUCGAACUAUCUAGUAGCUGGUUCCUGCCGAA